UGUUCUAACCCACAAGAUUGGACAUAAUAUAGAUGUAUAUUAUGACUGGGUCUCUUUGCUGUAUAGCAGAAAUUAAAGGAAGAUGGUAAAUCAAUGACACCAUAACAAAUUUUUUUUUUAAAAAAAAGACAUAGUAGUGCAGGCAUGGGGAAAGUCCAAGUUUCUCCUGAAAAUAUGCACAUACCAAUCUGAUAUGUGCAUGUCUCUGAGUUCUUCCAUAGGAACUAAGGCCCUCAUCCAGGUGGAGGAUGCUGACUUCAGGCUGAGCAGAAGCAUAUGGACCCCAGACUGGCUGGAACCAGAAGGCUGAUGACUGAGACUCCUGGAGCACUGCCCAGUUACCUCAUCACUAACCAAUCAGAAAAGGAAUGGAGACUUAUAUCCACAAUGGACUAGAGAGAAAGGAAGUACUUCCUUGCCAUGCUGACCACAGCCUUCCUGAUUGCAUCCUCCAAGUCGAUGCCAGAAGUAACAGAGAACUGGAUGUUGCUGAGGUCAACCAUCUUUUAGAGAUGAAUUAAACUUUCUUGGACUUGGCUGACAAGAGUGAGAGUCUGAGCACCAGGACUCACCAAUGUUUUUGGUCUUCACUGUCAUGCGGGAAUGACAUCUUAAACAAAAAUCAAGCACAGAGGAGCCUGACUGGGUGAUUGAGAUGAGGGGAAAAGGAAGCUUGGCAGAGAUUUAAUUCUUUAUUGGAAACAAACCCAA